AGUAUUCCAGGUGAAGCUGGUUGAGAGAAUGCCAAGAGUGGCAAAGGUUGGCUACUUUGAAGAAGUCAUUAUCACCUCCACUAAUAACAGCUGUUCGUUAUGUUCCAGGAAGUGGAGGGGUCCUGUCAGGCCAAAUCUGUAUCCUACUCUGUUCUGGAAGCAGCCAACCAGGUGGCAGUCAUCAAGGCUGCAAAGAACGCCAAUGUUACCAUGACAAAGAACGCCACGGCAACCGCCAUUACCACGGCAAAGAGAGCCACCAGUUUGGUAACCAUGACGAAGGGCACAGCAGUAAAUGUCACCUUUGGAAAGGGUCCCAACACCCCUAACACCGUUACCAACAUGCCUGCUAUCAACAUUGGGGUCUACGGUAGGGGCGUGCCUGAGAGUGCCAGCACGACAUUGAUCAGCGAGAUGGAGGCAGGGAGAGGGAAGACUGCUGCUACUCUAUCAGAUCCACUCUGACCGUUCCUGACAACCAGCUGAAACCGUUUGGGGUGGGCACGGCCACAGACCAUAGUGAUGCCCGUUAACAAAGCCGAGGACUCCCAUCCGUUCUGUGCAGUGUCUACUAUUACUACUCCUGGAACAUUGGGAAACGCAGGGCGGCUGAGGUAAGAGGGUUUAUUUGCGUUGUUGUCUGUGUGAUUGUGUUGUUGUCUGUGUGAUUGUUGGUCUGGCUGUGUAAUUCUGUUGUCUGUGUGUUUGUUGAUCUGGCUGUGUACAACAUGUAUAAACAUGUCAGUGUUUGUUAGCAUUGUUUGUGUGUGUACAUGAGACAGUGACUAUGCAUAUUUCCUGCUUACCUCAUGUCUCUCCUCUGUCAGAUCUGAUGAGUGUCUCUCUCUUUGCCCCGUCAUCAUCCUCUUUCAUUUCUACAGAAAGCACUCACACACACACACACACACACACACACACACACACACACACACACACACACACACACACACACACACACACUUUUAACCCCAGCUGCUGCCUAAAGGCCCUGUAGAACCAAACAGUCUGUGGAUUCAGUCUGGCCUGGUUUUCUACUCUGCACUCUCUGACAGUCAGUCUCUCAGACAGUAUUGUUCUAUGCUUCCUGCCCCAGAGCCCAGACGUCAGACUUAUUCUACCCAGUGAAAUACACUGUGGGAGGGAAGGUCAUGUGAUGCUAUGAACUGGCUGGGUGUGUGGGGAUGAUCCUCUCAUGUCUGACUACUGACUUUGGAAUGGGAACUCAAACAAACUCAUAACACUGGAGAGGAGCUUCAGGGGAAAAUAUGCCUAAGACACCCUGGAGAGAGCUGGCUCUGGGCUGGCUCUGGUCUGGUUCUGGUCUGGCUCUGGUCUGGCUCUGGUCUGGUUCUGAGCUGGUUCUGGGCUGGCUCUGGGCUGGUUCUGGGCUGGCUCUGGGCUGGCUCUGGUCUGGCUAGCCAAAAAACAAUUAGUAUAUUAGUUUCCUUCCCUCUGUAUACUCCAAAUCAACAGCCUCCAUGUGAUUAAUAUGCAAACCAUAAUUUGAGUGAAAGCUGUUUUGAAGAGGAGUGAAUUUAAGUAGAUUGCUGGGAAUUGUGUGUAAUCAGAGCUUACAAGUUUACUAUGCACAACACUUUGUGUGUCUCCCUUAUAAGGUGUCCAUUGUGUUUGUUUUAUUGGGUUUUGGGUGUUGUGUAUUUAAUAUGUGUGUUGUGUCAAGUAUGUUGAAUGCAGGAAGUGGUCCUUGACAUGUUGCUGUGCUGCCCCCGUCUGCAGGCCCUUAACCCCUCCUGAGACCAGAGAAGUGGUCCAGUAGUGUUGACAGAGGGUCUACACGCCCCAAACCCCUCCUAAUCAAAUCAAAUCAAAUUGCCUAACAGAGGGUCUACACGCCCCAAACCCCUCCUGAGACCAGAGAGGUGGUCCAGUCGUGUUGACAGAGGGUCUACACACCCCAAACCCCUCCUGAGACCAGAGAGGUGGUCCAGUAGUGUUGACAGAGGGUCUACACACCCCAAACCCCUCCUGAGACCAGAGAGGUGGUCCAGUAGUGUUGACAGAGGCUCUACACACCCCAAACCCUCUACACAGCAGCAGGCCUGGUGAAGGGACCGUAGAGGGCAUCCUUACACAGGUAGACAAUGAGCCAGGUAUGAGGACUGUAGAGUUGGUUGGUAUCCAAAUGUUCAUAUUGACAUUAUACCGUCCUUCUCUCAUCCUGGGAUUUACCGUAUUACUGGCAUAGCACACAAGGGGGCACUAAAACGCACGAAAAGCCCAUUGGGCCUCUGUUACCAGAAUGCUAACAAAAUUAGUACAAACUAUCUGCGAAAUUGCAUAGACGUUGUUAGCUAAAUGCUAACGAGAGAAAACGAACAUAAAUGGCAAAUUGUGCUUGACUUGGACUGAAAUAGGUUCCAGUACUCAUUUUGGGUGCUGGUACUGUUUAUAUUUAGGUGCAGGAGCUCCACAAUACUUCUGAGAUAAUAUUCUAUAAGAGGUGCAGGAACUCAAGCAGUAGAACAUUCGAGGUGCCGGUACUCAGCUGAGGUGAGCUCCUCCCCAAGUCAAGCACUGUUGCAAAGAUGUACAACUCCAGCUCGUAAAGUUAUACAUUUAUAGCUAGUAGCUACCAAAUGUCAUUUUCAGUAGAGUGUGGACAUUUACAGGCAAAAGUGAACAAGAGAAAUUGUGCAAUGAACAAAGUUGUGAUGCUAUUCUGAAGGAAGAGCAGCAUGUGUAGACGGAGGACAACGGAAGAGGAAACAAACGCUAGUAGGAAGCACAAUCAGCUGUUCAGAGAACACAUCCAGAGCUCUUGGACUUCUGGCAGAAAGACCAUUAGAAGAUAUCUGAUGGCAAACAUUUAGUAGUGAAUUGCAAUACAAGUGUAACGUCAUCACUUCAUGUGCUCCACACAACAGAGACUCACUGAUAGAUAUAGACCGCCAUGGACUGUCCAGCUCCAACCGUCUCCCGUUGUGCUAUUUACAAACAAACAGUGUUCUGGGGAACUAGGAUAAACUUCAUAAUGGCAGGUGAAAUGAAGAACGUGGUCUGUUUCAUCUCCUAACGUAUUGCACAAGUUGACUGCAGGUAUUUACUGUAAAAGUAACUGUAACAAAAAGGGGCCUCUUGUGUGGUGGUCAAGGGCGCUGUACUGCAGCGCCAGCUGCACCACUAGAGACCCUGAGUUCGCGCCCAGGCUCUGUCGAAAACCGGCCGUGACCGGGAGGU